rnacentral:rRNA from 1 species
UACGAAGGGGGCUAGCGUUGCUCGGAAUCACUGGGCGUAAAGGGUGCGUAGGCGGGUCUUUAAGUCAGGGGUGAAAUCCUGGAGCUCAACUCCAGAACUGCCUUUGAUACUGAAGAUCUUGAGUUCGGGAGAGGUGAGUGGAACUGCGAGUGUAGAGGUGAAAUUCGUAGAUAUUCGCAAGAACACCAGUGGCGAAGGCGGCUCACUGGCCCGAUACUGACGC